rnacentral:rRNA from 1 species
UACGUAGGGGGCAAGCGUUAUCCGGAUUUACUGGGCGUAAAGCGCGUUAAGGCGGCUCGCCAAGUCGGGGGUGAAAUUUCAGGGCUCAACCCUGAAACUGCCUUCGAUACUGGCGAGCUCGAGUACGAGAGAGGAAGGUGGAAUUCCCGGUGUAGUAGUGAAAUGCGUAGAUAUCGGGAGGAACACCAGUGGCGAAGGCGGCCUUCUGGCUCGUUACUGACGCUGUAGCGCGAGAGCGUGGGGAGCGAACCGG